GGGCUGAUAGUGAAAUCGGGUUUUAUCACACUUCCAUGGCAUGGAAGAGUUUCCGGGUUCAAAUCUCGGUCAGUCCA
rnacentral:tRNA from 1 species